rnacentral:rRNA from 1 species
UACGUAGGGGGCUAGCGUUGUCCGGAAUCAUUGGGCGUAAAGUGCGUGUCGGCGGUCCGGUAAGUCCGCUGUGAAAGUCGGGGGCUCAACCCUCGAAUGCCGGUGGAUACUGUCGGGCUAGAGUGCGGAAGAGGCGAGUGGAAUUCCUGGUGUAGCGGUGAAAUGCGCAGAUAUCAGGAGGAACACCUAUUGCGAAGGCAGCUCGCUGGGACGUAACUGACGCUGAGACGCGAAAGCGUGGGGAGCAAACAGG